CUACCUUAUAUUUAAUGGGCAUAAGUAAUGGUAUAUGUUCUGAAUGUAAGGUCUUGGAGGAUGUCACUCAUGUCUUAUUUUACUGUAAGAAAUAUGAGCAAUUUAGACAAGUAUGGAAAGAGCUUGAUGAGGAAAACGACAUUCACAAUAUAUUACAGGAACAAGGAAUGCAAGGAUUAAGAAUUAGAUAUCUCAUUAGGUAUCUAAUUGAUUCAGGUAUAAUUAAUAGAGUGUAAUUUUUUUUUUUAUGAUUUGAGAUCUCAAUUGCCAACGCUCCUUUUACACACUCCUGUGUAGUACCUCAGUAGGUGGCGGUAUAUAACGAAAGAUAUGACCCGCCAUUAAUCGAACGAAGAAGAAGAAGAAGAAGAAGAAGAACAGAGUGGCUACACCAAAGAUUGUUUGGCUACACUCCCAUAGACUUCCAUAGGAAACAAUGGCGGCGCUUUUUCCAGGCUACUCCGGCGUUAUGCAGAGCUCAAAAGUUCCUAACUUUGACAUUCACGGCUUUAGCCCCAUCCACUUGCUUUCUGCCUGAUAUUGUCAGUGGACCAAGGAUGCAGAGGACCAGAAGGGUGUGCGAUAUAUGACUGGAAUGGUCAGAUACGAUCAUUUUUUAUGUUUGAGGUCCACACGAUGGGGCCCUUACACAAAUGGAGUUGUGUUGAUCCAGCAUCUUCCACACCUUCCAUAACACUCCCGACUCCAGCCAAAUGUGUUGCAUCCUCCUUACCAUGUCCAUCUUAUAGGUGUACAGAGUACACGGAGGGCUAGCCAUCCCUUCCACAUUGUGUCUUUUGUGUAGUUCACACACAAUUGUUGUUCAAACUUUGGAAACUGAAAUCUUUUUAUUUUUUGGAAACCUAAAUGAGUGUCAGACCUCCUUUUUUAUGUUGCAGUGUCACCAUACCUUUCUCCCAGUCUUUUUUGCAUUUGUUCCUGUUCUUGUUUUAAACACACAUUGAAAACUUAAUAAAAAUUCUAUUGAAAACCUAA